ACUCCUACGGGAGGCAGCAGUGGGGAAUAUUGCACAAUGGGCGGAAGCCUGAUGCAGCAACGCCGCGUGCGGGAUGACGGCCUCGGGUUGUAAAUCCGCUUUCGCCUGUGACGAAGCGUGAGUGACGGUAAUGGGUAAAGAAGCACCGGCUAACUACGUGCCAGCAGCCGCGGUGAUACGUAGGGUGCGAGCGUUGUCCGGAUUUAUUGGGCGUAAAGGGCUCGUAGGUGGUUGAUCGCGUCGGAAGUGUAAUCUUGGGGCCUUAACCCUGAGCGUGCUUUCGAUACGGGUUGACUUGAGGAAGGUAGGGGAGAAUGGAAUUCCUGGUGGAGCGGUGGAAUGCGCAGAUAUCAGGAGGAACACCAGUGGCGAAGGCGGUUCUCUGGGCCUUUCCU
rnacentral:rRNA from 1 species